rnacentral:tRNA from 1 species
GAGUUAGUGGUUCAGUAGAAAGAGCACUGUUUUCCAAAUCAGAGGAUGUAGGUUCAAAUCUUACCUCUGUCA